GAUCCAAUGAGAGCACUGGAAGCUAAGUGUAAGAAACUGUUAAAAAACAAGGACCUACUAGAUUUUUUGAGAGUGCCAAGAAUUAGUAACCCAGCAUGCCCAAAAUUAUUCAGCUAUGCGAAGACGCACAAAAAUCCACUGAAGUUCCACCCGAUAGUGGAAAAAGUGCAGGUCACCCACCUAUAACCUUGAAAGAGCGAUGGCUAUGUGGAGCAAUUCCAGUAUAGCAGGUUAUCAACACGUUGUAAACUCCCCAGCGGAAUUUAUUAAAAGAUUGCAUGAAACCAGUCUGCCUGAAGAACCAACAUUUAACACCAUGGAUUUUGAGAAACUGUACCUGUCACUCAAUAUAGCCCCAACGUGUUUAAGCCUCUAUAGGUUCCUGUUGCAAAAUCUGCCAACAACAACGCAGAACCCCAAACUAUGCAGGGAAUUAGCAGACUUUUUCUGCCAUUUUUCUUAUUUCAGAUAUAGGGGCAAGUUUUACAAGCAGAA
rnacentral:lncRNA from 1 species